rnacentral:misc_RNA from 1 species
UACGGAAAGUGCAAGCGUUGUUCGGAUUUAUUGGGCGUAAAGAGCACGUAGGCGGGUCUUUAAGUCGAUUGUGAAAGCCCCAGGCUCAACCUGGGAAUUGCAGCCGAAACUGGAGAUCUUGAAUGUUCGAGAGGUUGGUGGAAUUCCAGGUGUAGAAGUGAAAUUCGUAGAUAUCUGGAGGAACACCGGAGGCGAAGGCGGCCAACUGGCGAAACAUUGACGCUGAGGUGCGAAAGCGUGGGGAGCAAACAGG